rnacentral:rRNA from 1 species
UACGGGGGGGGUAAGCGUUGUUCGGAAUUACUGGGCGUAAAGGGCUCGUAGGUGGCCAACUAAGUCAGACGUGAAAUCCCUCGGCUUAACCGGGGAACUGCGUCUGAUACUGGAUGGCUAGAGAUUGGGAGAGGGAUGCGGAAUUCCAGGUGUAGCGGUGAAAUGCGUAGAUAUCUGGAGGAACACCGGUGGCGAAGGCGGCAUCCUGGACCAACACUGACGCUGAGACGCGAAA